rnacentral:lncRNA from 1 species
CUCAAGUUGGAGAGGGAAACCACCUGCAACUUGAGCAGCAAAGGAUGAAGCACAGUGCCAGGCGAAGGCUUGUUCAGGAGGUCAGCCAGUUGACGAGAAGUAGGAACAUGAAACAGCUGGAUGAGUCCAUUCUGGAGCUGAUCUCGAACAAAAUGACAAUCCACUUCAAUGUGUUUAGUCCGUUCAUGAAACACAGGGUUCUUAGCUAUGUGAAUAGCAGCCUGACUAUCACAAAGCACAGAAAAGGGAAGAGAAAUAGAAACCCCAAGAUAAAGAAAUAAACGAGACAGCCAAGACAAUUCUGCAACAACCUUACUGAAGGCCCUAUAUUCAGCCUCAGCAGAAGACAAAGAAACCACUGGUUGCUUCUUAGAUUUCCAACUAAUCAGGCAACCACCCAGAACAAUACAAAACCCAGUAAGACAAAGAAACCACUGGUUGCUUCUUAGAUUUCCAACUAAGCAGGCAACCACCUAGAACAAUAUAAAACCCAGUAACAGAUUUCCUUGUAUCAGGGCAGGCAGCCCAGUCACUAUCAGAAUAACCAACAACAGAGAAAUCAUUGCAGUCAGAAUAAAAGAGACCCAAAGAGGAGGUACCUUUAAGGUAUCUUAACACAUGGAGGGCAACAGUCAUAUGUGGAAGUCUGGGACAUUUCAGAAAUUGACUCAGAUGUUGUGCAGCAAAACAGAUGUCAGGCCUAGUAUGAGUCAGAGAUAAGAGCUUACCAACAAGACUCCUAUACUGAUCGGGACAAGAUAAAAGGUCACCAGAAUCAGCAUGAAGUUUGGCAAUAAUAUCCAAAGGACAAACAAUAGAAGAGACACUAGCACAGUCAAACUGAUGCAGCAGGUCAGAGAUAUAUUUCUGCUGAUUAAGGAUCAUCCCACCAGGAACAACUGACAUCUCUAUGCCUAAA